CCUACGGGAGGCAGCAGUAAGGAAUAUUGGUCAAUGGACGCAAGUCUGAACCAGCCAUGCCGCGUGAAGGAUGAAGGCCCUCUGGGUUGUAAACUUCUUUUACAGGGGUACGAAAAAAGGGAAUUCUUUCUCACUUGACGGUACCCUGGGAAUAAGCACCGGCUAACUCCGUGCCAGCAGCCGCGGUAAUACGGAGGGUGCAAGCGUUAUCCGGAUUCACUGGGUUUAAAGGGUGCGUAGGUGGGCAUUUAAGUCAGUGGUGAAAUCUCCGGGCUUAACCCGGAAACUGCCAUUGAUACUAUUUGUCUUGAAUAUUGUGGAGGUAAGCGGAAUAUGUCAUGUAGCGGUGAAAUGCUUAGAUAUGACAUAGAACACCCAUUGCGAAGGCAGCUUACUACGCAAAUAUUGACACUGAGGCACGAAAGCGUGGGGAUCAAACAGGAUUAGAUACCCUGGUAGUCACGCCCUAAACGAUGGAUACUCGACAUCAGCGAUACACAGUUGGUGUCUGNGNGAAGANAUAGUAUACCACAGGAGUACGACGCAGUAGAAGUAAGAAGUAGAGNGUGAGAGAGACGAGACGACGACGAGGAGAGG
rnacentral:rRNA from 1 species